rnacentral:lncRNA from 1 species
CCCCCAUGAAAGUCUUCUCUCAGUGAGAGGGUAGGAACAUCUCAAUACCUUGCAGGUGGCCAAGAGUAUGUUUCUCUGAUCCAAAUGUUCUAAGAGUCAUGCAUUUCCUUUUAAUUGCCAUUAGCUAUCCCCAAAAGUAUAUUUCCUAUGUAGUUAUUACACACCAAAUCUCUUUCAUAAUGCGAAGUAAUUUCUGAUAUCCCCAAAAAGCAAAAAACAUCAGAUAACACAUGUAAAAUAGAACAGAGCCUUAGAUUUUGAGAGAGAUCUAUCCACUUUCACUUUCUAAGGUUUCAUGAGGAAAACAGAUGUUUUUCCCAAAACAGGGUCUAUGGCACCUCCUCUGUUUUUUUCCAAGGAGUUCCAGGCUGUUAGAACUUGAAUAGCUGCUUUUAAUUAAGCUGACUUUUAACCACAGGGCUCUCUUAUUAAAAUUUUUUUUAAAAAAACACGUUAUUUUAGGUUUCUUGUUACCCAAUUUUAGCCAGACAAAAAGGCAAAUAUUUCUGGCUUUUAAAUUUUACUAAAAGUAACCACCUAGGUGCUCAGAGAAAGGAAAAUUCAAGAUGAUUCGUGGAUGAGAAGCGAAUUAACAAAUGGUGGAGAUCACAACAGAUAUCAACCAGAAAGGACUCAUUCCCUAAGUCAGGAACUGAACUCCGAACCCAGGCCACCACUGUGAAAAGAUAAGAAAGGCAAAAGACAGAAAGGGAGAAAAACAUUCUCAGGGAGGCCAGAGAAAGGCCCACCCAUUGCAGCAACAGUGUAAAGUUCAGGUGGCUGCUCAUAGGGGAUCUUUUCCUGCAGUGUCAUCAGUUCUCAGGUUUCCCCUUUUGGAAAGAAAAAAGCUCCCCAUACCAUAUGUUCCUGUACAUGCCUCAUCCUAUCACCCACAGCCAUCAGCAAAGAGUGCAAGGCAGAUUAAUCCAAAAAAUAUUGGUUAACAUCCCCUAAGUUGGGCCUCUAACCCAAUCCCAUCUUCUACCCAGGUAAAUGCACCCCACUUACCCAAAGUUGGCCAAUUGGGGCAUGCAGACAACUUUCCUUUGGGUCAGGGGUCUCUUGAGUACCGUCCCUUCACGUCACGGGAAAGAAGUUGCUGGAAAGGGAUUCCAAUCCAGACCCCAAGAGAAGGUUCUUGGAUCUGGCACAAGGAAGAAUUCCGGAAUACCUCACCUCCUGGGAAUGCAGCCCAGCAGAUCUCAUCCUUGUUUUACCCAGCAUCUAUUCAAGAUGGAGUUCUCGGGUUCAAAUGCCUCUGACAGUGAUGUCACCUACAGAAGCAAUUGAGGAAGUUAACAAACCUUGUGACUUCCAACUGCAUGGCUCUUAAACAGUGAUUCUAGAAACAAUGGCUGGUUAUCUUUAAAGUACACCUAUAUCUUGGCAGAAUUCAGGCCCCUCCCAAAUCCUAAACUUGUGGACUUCCAUUAGUCUUACAAGGAUGGUUUUGGUCCCCAAGCAAGGAGAGGGUUUGUUUUGGGAAGGGACUGUUAUCAUCUAUGUUUUAAAGUUAAGAAAAGCAGUGAACUUGUGUUAAAAGCAAAAUGGAGUUAACUAUGUCACAUUUCACUAGAGGUCAUUAUUUUUUUUUAUUUCUUAUUUUUGCAAAGGUGGUUUCAAGAAUUUCCCCCUAUCUACAUAAAGUCUCAAAGUACCCACCAAGGAGAAGAAUUAUUUUUCCUUUUCUUCCCUAUUACCUCAUCUGACCAAGAAUGUAACCACACUUUAAUACUCCCUUUCACAAGAUAAUGUCUGGCUGUCAGGCUCAUUCAAGUUCCA